rnacentral:rRNA from 1 species
AUGCAGUCGAGCGGAGAUGAGGUGCUUGCACCUUAUCUUAGCGGCGGACGGGUGAGUAAUGCUUAGGAAUCUGCCUAUUAGUGGGGGACAACAUUCCGAAAGGAAUGCUAAUACCGCAUACGCCCUACGGGGGAAAGCAGGGGAUCUUCGGACCUUGCGCUAAUAGAUGAGCCUAAGUCGGAUUAGCUAGUUGGUGGGGUAAAGGCCUACCAAGGCGACGAUCUGUAGCGGGUCUGAGAGGAUGAUCCGCCACACUGGGACUGAGACACGGCCCAGACUCCUACGGGAGGCAGCAGUGGGGAAUAUUGGACAAUGGGCGGAAGCCUGAUCCAGCCAUGCCGCGUGUGUGAAGAAGGCCUUUUGGUUGUAAAGCACUUUAAGCGAGGAGGAGGCUACUUAGAUUAAUACUCUAGGAUAGUGGACGUUACUCGCAGAAUAAGCACCGGCUAACUCUGUGCCAGCAGCCGCGGUAAUACAGAGGGUGCGAGCGUUAAUCGGAUUUACUGGGCGUAAAGCGUGCGUAGGCGGCUGAUUAAGUCGGAUGUGAAAUCCCUGAGCUUAACUUAGGAAUUGCAUUCGAUACUGGUCAGCUAGAGUAUGGGAGAGGAUGGUAGAAUUCCAGGUGUAGCGGUGAAAUGCGUAGAGAUCUGGAGGAAUACCGAUGGCGAAGCAGCCAUCUGGCCUAAUACUGACGCUGAGUACGAAAGCAUGGGGAGCAAACAGGAUUAGAUACCCUGGUAGUCCAUGCCG